AUUGAACGCUGGCGGCAGGCCUAACACAUGCAAGUCGAGCGAGCGGCGGACGGGUGAGUACUGUAUGGGGACUGCCCGAUAGAGGGGGAUAAAUACUGGAAACGGUAGCUAAUACCGCAUACUAUCGGAUAACCCAUAUGGGAUUAGCUAGUGGGUGAGGUAAUGGCCCACCUAGGCGACGAUCCAUAGCUGGUCUGAGAGGAUGAUCAGCCACACUGGGACGGAGACACGGCCCAGACUCCUACGGAGGCAGCAGUAGGGAAUAUUGCGCAAUGGGCGAAAGCCUGAUGCAGCCAUGCCGCGUGUAUGAAGAAGGCCCUAGGGUUGUAAAGUACUGUCAGUCGGGAGGCGUUACCGACAGAAGAAGCACCGGCUAACUCCGUGCCAGCAGCCGCGGUAAUAC
rnacentral:rRNA from 1 species